rnacentral:rRNA from 1 species
AUGGUCAGAUUGAGAUUACCUUGGACAACAUCCAGUCGCUCUACUUGCUCUUCGAAUUUCUGGUCAAGGCCAUCCAAUCGAUCUGCAAUCUCAUCGAUGCGCCCCAUCUUCUCCGUGACCAGAGUGAGCGCCUCGAGCUGUUUGAGGACCCGCUGCUCGAAGCUCUCCAUGGAGUCGAGGACCAGCGUCGUCUGUGCGUUCGCCUUGGGAGGAGCCGUUGCGCCCUGUGUCUACCGCCGCCGGAAUCAGCGAGUACAAGGGCAAGCCCGUUCCUCUACAACUGAUCCCUUCACCACCGUGCUGCGCCAACCGAGUAUCUCCGCCGGAAUUUUACACCCACCGGAAUGGCCGGUGGAAACCGCGGGACACGCUCGAUCCGCAGCCGAAUGCACACCGCCGCCACGAACUCGCCACCCGUGUCGCCGAAUCGAUGUGACCCACACCGCUGCCACGAACUCCGACGCCGACGAGGGAUUUUACGAGAGAGCCCAACCUCGUCGAAAUCGAAUCCGAUCCGCCGCCGAUCGCCCAUGCAGGCGCGCGUCGCUAUUCCCAGCCCUAUCUCCGCGCACCGCCACCCCCAGCCGGACCCGACCCAAUCACAUCGCCAUGGCAUGGUGUCUCCAUCUCCCGAUGACGGAGCAGCACCUUCCCGACGGCGCGCCUACCACCGCUGACAAAGAACUCUGCCCCAAGCCUCCUCCCCCCUCCUCACGUCCGGAUGGGCAAGAUCCAGCCAGCACUGAAGCCUAUCCCACCGGCGCAGCUCCCCAUCACCAUUGCGCUGCUCCUUCCUCGUGUGUCUCCACUUCCCCUUGCUGCUCGGAUUGGUGUGCCGCGGUGCCGCCACCCAGGUCAAUUUCAUUCCUUCAGCCCUGCAUCUCCUUGAUGGCUCGUUCGAUCACUUCUACAUAA